GAAGAUGCGAGACAGUCCACCGCCAGGCUAUGCUGCGCAGGAAAACAACAACCGGACAAGCAGCUUCAGCUAUCAAGAGAUGGAAAUUUGAAGAGCAAAUGCAGUUUCUGCUGAAAACAAUGACUCACAGACCGAGUGACACCCAACGUCCCCGCGACUAUCCACCCUGAAGUAGCAACCCCCGAAGCAACUGACGACCUAGAGCAUUCUGAAGACGACCUCACUGAACUUCAAAUCGAGGAGAGCGAGUUUCCAUUCCCUGCUAGUCCGUCGACACCGAGGACCGAGAAACGGAAGAGGCCAGAUAAGGGCGCGGAUAAGAUUAUUACUUUUAUGAAACAAAAACAUGAUCAAAAAAUGGAAUUGAAACAGACUAAAAAACCAGUAGAUGGAGUAGACCUAUUUUUAGCUAGUGUUGCUCAGUCCAUGCGUAAAUUGCCCCGUCGACAGCUUCACAAAGCAAAAGUAGCAAUACUUAAUGUGAUUGCAGCUGCAGAAGAUGAAAGUGAGUGGGAGGCAGCUGCUAGUCCAGUAUCAUCAAACAGCCCUUCCAACAACAGUGCUUCCAUGAACAUUACUAUGAUUAGGCCUUCAACGGCAGGUUCCAGUACAUCUGAAAGCCCACACUUGGUGUCAGAAAGUCUCUUUGUACCCGACAACCGAAUCUACACUGGAAUGGAGAACAGUACUUUUUACUGAAAAUUGUACUAAUUUUUACUAAGAAUAAAUAUAAAACUGUGUUUUUGAAAUACUGAAAUAAAUUAAAUUAAUUUUAA